GGACCCAUAGCUCAGUUUGUAGAGCUCCCGGCUCAUAACCGGGCGGUCACUGGUUCGAUUCCAGUUGGGUCCACCA
rnacentral:tRNA from 1 species